rnacentral:rRNA from 1 species
AACAAACGCUGGCGGCGUGCCUAAUACAUGCAAGUCGAACGGGGAAAGCUUUCGGGUGAGUACUAGUGGCGCACGGGUGAGUAACGCGUGGAUAAUCUGCCUUAGAGUGGGGGAUAACUAGUCGAAAGAUUAGCUAAUACCGCAUAAGACCACAAGAACUGCGGUUCAAGGGGUCAAAGGUUUUUCGCUCUGAGAUGAGUCCGCGUAAGAUUAGCUAGUUGGUAGGGUAACGGCCUACCAAGGCGACGAUCUUUAACUGGUCUGAGAGGAUGAUCAGUCACACUGGAACUGAGACACGGUCCAGACUCCUACGGGAGGCAGCAGUAGGGAAUAUUGCACGAUGGAGGAAACUCUGAUGCAGCGACGCCGCGUGAGUGAUGAAGGCCUUCGGGUCGUAAAGCUCUGUCGCAGGGGAAUAACACAAUGAAGGUACCCUGUAAGAAAGGAUCGGCUAACUUCGUGCCAGCAGCCGCAGUAAUAC